rnacentral:rRNA from 1 species
GACGAACGCUGGCGGCGUGCUUAAUACAUGCAAGUCGAGCGAGGUUACUGUUUCGGAUCCCUUCGGGGUGAAGAAGCUUUAACCUAGCGGCGGACGGGUGAGUAACGCGUGGGUAACCUACCCCAAAGUCCGGGAUAACAGCGGGAAACCGCUGCUAAUACCGGAUGCCUUUACCUUGGGGCAUCUUGAGGUAAAGAAAGGUAACGCUUUGGGAUGGGCCCGCGUCCCAUUAGCUAGUUGGUGAGGUAACGGCUCACCAAGGCGACGAUGGGUAGCCGGCCUGAGAGGGUGGACGGCCACACUGGGACUGAGACACGGCCCAGACUCCUACGGGAGGCAGCAGUAGGGAAUAUUGCGCAAUGGACGGAAGUCUGACGCAGCGACGCCGCGUGAGCGAUGAAGGUCUUCGGAUCGUAAAGCUCUGUCCUUGGGGAAGAAGGCGAAAGCUUGACGGUACCCAAGAAGAAAGCCCGGCUAACUACGUGCCAGCAGCCGCGGUAAACAUAACUCGUA